UACCAUGCAGUCGCACGAGAAAGUGGAGCAUCCAUGAGUACAGUGGCGUACGGGUGAGUAACACGUGGAUAAUCUACCUCUUAGUGGGGAAUAACUUUGGGAAACCGAAGCUAAUACCGCAUAAGCCUGGAAAGGGAAAGCAGCAAUGCGCUGAGAGAGGAGUCCGCGGCCGAUUAGCUAGUUGGCAGGGUAACAGCCUACCAAGGCAUUGAUCGGUAGCCGGCCUGAGAGGGCACACGGCCACACUGGCACUGAAACACGGGCCAGACUCCUACGGGAGGCAGCAGUGGGGAAUCUUGCACAAUGGGGGCAACCCUGAUGCAGCGACGCCGCGUGAGCGAUGAAGCCCUUCGGGGUGUAAAGCUCUUUCGGCAGGAACGAUAAUGACGGUACCUGAAGAAGAAGCUGCGGCUAACUACGUGCCAGCAGCCGCGGUAAUACGUAGGCAGCAAGCGUUGUUCGGAGUUACUGGGCGUAAAGGGUGUGUAGGUGGUUUUCUAAGUUUGGUGUGAAAUCUCCCGGCUCAACUGGGAGGGUGCGCCGAAAACUGGAAGGCUUGAGUAUGGGAGAGGAAAGCGGAAUUCCUGGUGUAGCGGUGAAAUGCGUAGAUAUCACGAGGAACACCUGCGGUGCAGACGGCUUUCUGGACCAUCACUGACACUGAAACACGAAAGCGUGGGGAGCAAACAGGGAUUAGAUACCCUGGUAGUCCACGCCCUAAACGAUGCAUACUUGGUGUGAGCGAUUCAUUUCGUUCGUGCCGGAGCUAACGCGUUAAGUAUGCCGCCUGGGAGUACGGUCGCAAGGCUGAAACUCAAGGAAUUGACGGGGCCCGCACAGCGGUGGAGCA
rnacentral:rRNA from 1 species